GAUACACGUAGAGGUGCGCGGUUUAUCAGUAGUUUGUCUUAGGGUGAUGCCAGUGAGGACAAAUGAAAGGAGAUAGCGCCGAAGCAGAAUGUCGCUUAUCUGGGGACUCUGCUGGGGUUGUGACCGAACAGGCACAACACUGCCAUAGUAUUGGGAUUUAACUAUGGAGCGCUACUGUAGGA
rnacentral:ncRNA from 2 species